rnacentral:rRNA from 1 species
AAACCAACCGGGAUUGCCUCAGUAACGGCGAGUGAAGCGGCAAGAGCUCAAAUUUGAAAUCUGGCCUCCCCCUCGGGGGUCCGAGUUGUAAUUUGCAGAGGAUGCUUCGGGUGCGGCCCCCGUCUAAGUGCCCUGGAAUGGGCCGUCGGAGAGGGUGAGAAUCCCGUCUGGGACGGGGUGCCCGCGCCCGUGUGAAGCUCCCUCGACGAGUCGAGUUGUUUGGGAAUGCAGCUCUAAGUGGGUGGUAAAUUUCAUCUAAAGCUAAAUACCGGCCGGAGACCGAUAGCGCACAAGUAGAGUGAUCGAAAGAUGAAAAGCACCUUGAAAAGGGAGUUAAACAGCACGUGAAAUUGUUGAAAGGGAAGCGCUGACGACCAGACUCGCCUCCGGGGUUCAGCCGGCCUUCGGGCCGGUGUACUUCCCCGGGGGCGGGCCAGCGUCGGUUUGGGCGGCCGGUCAAAGGCCCCCGGAAUGUAGCGCCUCUCGGGGCGCCUUAUAGCCGGGGGUGCAAUGCGGCCAGCCCGGACCGAGGAACGCGCUCCGGCACGGACGCUGGCAUAAUGGUCGUUAACGAC